rnacentral:rRNA from 1 species
AGGACGAACGCUGGCGGCGUGCUUAACACAUGCAAGUCGAGCGGAAAGGCCCUUCGGGGUACUCGAGCGGCGAACGGGUGAGUAACACGUGAGCAACCUGCCCUUAGCUUCGGGAUAGCUCCGGGAAGCCGGAAUUAAUACCGAAUAUGAUUUUUGCUGACAUCAGCAGAAGUGGAAAGUUUUUCGGCUGGGGAUGGACUCGCGGCCUAUCAGCUUGUUGGUGGGUAAUGGCCUACCAAGGCGACGACGGGUA